CUUAACGAAUCAGGGUCCAGCAACAAAAACCCCGGCUUAUACGGGGUUUUUUGUUAUCUAAGCAUUUAUAAAUGCAUUUAGGUAAUGUUUGCUUGGAAUUUAAAUUGGGCUUUGAGCCCUUUUUUU
rnacentral:sRNA from 1 species